AAUCUCCUACUGUAAAAGUAUCUCCAGAUGUCAUAAGAGAGUCCAGCUCAGUGAAGAUCAGCUGUGAGACUCCAGCAGAUGUUAGAAAGAAUCAGUGUUAUUUCUACACAAACAGAGAAGAGAAGAAUAUAAAAGUCAGAUCAUCAUGUGAGCUCGAGCUCACUGGUGCUGAAGUGCUCAGAUGGGCAGGUGUAAAAUCACCUGAAUCAAUCUACAUUAACUGUUACUACACAAUAAAUGAACGAGGCAUCAAUAAACCAUCAUCUAAUUCUCCUUCUGCCACAGUGACGGUUCUUGGUGAGAUAUUUCACUGCUGUUUAUGUGGUUUGAAACUGUUAUUGCAAUGUUUUUAAUAGCUGUGGACCAUUUCUCUUCAGAUUCACUUCAGAAACCCUUCAUUACUGUUAGUGAUGACCAGCUCAGCAUAUCAUGUGAAAUACCACUUUCAGUCAGAGCUGAUUUCAUCUGUAGUCUCUACACUGAGGAUGAUGUUCUGUAUCAACAUGUCUCUCAUUGGAGUCAGUCUGGAAAGAAUCUUUGUAUGUUUUAUGUAAGUCGUAGUGAACUCUUGACACGAUCAGUGAACAGCAGACAGCUGAUCUGUGUUUAUUCACACAAGACUGAACCUGAGAUCAGAUCACCACACAGUGACACAUACACCCUCAGAGCUUCAACACCAACCACCACUAAACAUACGACUACAACAACAGCCAUGAAAACCUUAGAUGUCCAAUCCAAGACAAGCCCGCCAACCAGCAAAGCAAAGAAAACCCAGACAGCGUUAAAUGUAAUGUCCACUUCUGAAACAACAACAUACAGUAAACCUGUAGAUGUCCAAUCCAAGACAAGCCUGCCAACCAGCAAAGCAAAGAAAACCAAGACAGCGUUAAAUGUAAUGUCCACUUCUGAAACAACAACAUACAGUAAAACUGUAGACUUUCAAUCUAAAUCAAACCUGCCAACCAGCACAGCAACGAAAACCAUGGAACUAUGGUAUAUAGUGCUGGGUUCUACUGGCGUUGCUGUAAUUUUGUCUGGACUCAUCUGUUUCUGUCGGUUUGCAAGUAAAAAAAGAAGAAAACUAAACAAAACAAGAUCAAACAAACCUGAUGUGACCAGUCAAGAGAUUGGUAUGAGCUGUUCUGGACCUGCAGAGACAUACUGUCUGAUCACAUCUGUACCAUCCACAUCUCAGCCCAUAUCUGAAGGCCUCGAACAGGACAGCACAGCAGAUCCCAAAGACAGUUACUCUUUCAUUACUUCUGUCAAUUCAAUUUACCAUUCCCCAGAUGUUUUGGUUAAUAAACAACAGAAACAGGGAAAUACAGAGGAAAAUGAGAAUGUUUAUCACCUGUACUGCACAAUCCCUGACUAACCAGUUCACUCAAACACAGAAGAUCACGUGUACAGUUUGGUGA
ensembl:lncRNA